rnacentral:lncRNA from 1 species
UGAGUGAUUCUGGCGAAUGCUUUCCGGAUUUGCAGUAUUAUUCACAGGAUUAUGGAUAUACUUCCGAAUGAGUACCAUACUAGAAUUAAGUACAGUCCAUUCAAGUGCCGUAUUUUACAUGUUAAUUGCUACAGGGACUAUCACGGUCAUUGCUGGAUUUUUAGCUUGUUGCUUUACAGCUAAAGGUCAUUUAGGAUUUCUAUAUGCAUAUGGAUUUUUCAUACUU